GCACCGGUAGCUCAGCUGGAUAGAGCACUUGACUACGAAUCAAGGGGUCGGGGGUUCGAAUCCCUCCCGGUGCACCA
rnacentral:tRNA from 1 species